GGACGACCUUGGACAGCGGUGCCGGCCUGGCGAGUUUCAUCAGGGCUGCAAAACGGCGGAGAAGGUCUUCAACAGGAAAUCCACUGACUUUCGACUCGCGAGAUUUCUCCGGUCUUUCUUCGAGUUAAUUCGCGAGAUUACCGCGGCAUUCCAGGGGACACGGACUCACCUAUGUCGUGCACGUAAUUAUUGAAUCUCUCGUGAAGAAUCACUUUCUCGACGGGCAGACGUGCGGAUCCGCGUCCUCCUGAGUCCAAUUCCCAUUCGCCGACCACCGCCGUCCAUAGUGCACCAAUGGGUAAAUUGAACAGCUCACUGAAAUAAAUAUCCACUUGAGAAUACGAAGCACAGGAGAGAUCCAUUUGUUCUGAAAUAUCGGACUCACUUGUGAAUGCAGUGGGCGGCGGUGAUCACCCACUUGGGGUCGAUCAGCACACCG